GGUUAAGCGACUAAGCGUACACGGUGGAUGCCCUGGCAGUCAGAGGCGAUGAAGGACGUGCUAAUCUGCGAUAAGCGUCGGUAAGGUGAUAUGAACCGUUAUAACCGGCGAUUUCCGAAUGGGGAAACCCAGUGUGUUUCGACACACUAUCAUUAACUGAAUCCAUAGGUUAAUGAGGCGAACCGGGGGAACUGAAACAUCUAAGUACCCCGAGGAAAAGAAAUCAACCGAGAUUCCCCCAGUAGCGGCGAGCGAACGGGGAGGAGCCCAGAGCCUGAAUCAGUGUGUGUGUUAGUGGAAGCGUCUGGAAAGGCGCGCGAUACAGGGUGACAGCCCCGUACACAAAAAUGCACAUGCUGUGAGCUCGAUGAGUAGGGCGGGACACGUGGUAUCCUGUCUGAAUAUGGGGGGACCAUCCUCCAAGGCUAAAUACUCCUGACUGACCGAUAGUGAACCAGUACCGUGAGGGAAAGGCGAAAAGAACCCCGGCGAGGGGAGUGAAAAAGAACCUGAAACCGUGUACGUACAAGCAGUGGGAGCACGCUUAGGCGUGUGACUGCGUACCUUUUGUAUAAUGGGUCAGCGACUUAUAUUCUGUAGCAAGGUUAACCGAAUAGGGGAGCCGAAGGGAAACCGAGUCUUAACUGGGCGUUAAGUUGCAGGGUAUAGACCCGAAACCCGGUGAUCUAGCCAUGGGCAGGUUGAAGGUUGGGUAACACUAACUGGAGGACCGAACCGACUAAUGUUGAAAAAUUAGCGGAUGACUUGUGGCUGGGGGUGAAAGGCCAAUCAAACCGGGAGAUAGCUGGUUCUCCCCGAAAGCUAUUUAGGUAGCGCCUCGUGAAUUCAUCUCCGGGGGUAGAGCACUGUUUCGGCAAGGGGGUCAUCCCGACUUACCAACCCGAUGCAAACUGCGAAUACCGGAGAAUGUUAUCACGGGAGACACACGGCGGGUGCUAACGUCCGUCGUGAAGAGGGAAACAACCCAGACCGCCAGCUAAGGUCCCAAAGUCAUGGUUAAGUGGGAAACGAUGUGGGAAGGCCCAGACAGCCAGGAUGUUGGCUUAGAAGCAGCCAUCAUUUAAAGAAAGCGUAAUAGCUCACUGGUCGAGUCGGCCUGCGCGGAAGAUGUAACGGGGCUAAACCAUGCACCGAAGCUGCGGCAGCGACACUGUGUGUUGUUGGGUAGGGGAGCGUUCUGUAAGCCUGUGAAGGUGUACUGUGAGGUAUGCUGGAGGUAUCAGAAGUGCGAAUGCUGACAUAAGUAACGAUAAAGCGGGUGAAAAGCCCGCUCGCCGGAAGACCAAGGGUUCCUGUCCAACGUUAAUCGGGGCAGGGUGAGUCGACCCCUAAGGCGAGGCCGAAAGGCGUAGUCGAUGGGAAACAGGUUAAUAUUCCUGUACUUGGUGUUACUGCGAAGGGGGGACGGAGAAGGCUAUGUUGGCCGGGCGACGGUUGUCCCGGUUUAAGCGUGUAGGCUGGUUUUCCAGGCAAAUCCGGAAAAUCAAGGCUGAGGCGUGAUGACGAGGCACUACGGUGCUGAAGCAACAAAUGCCCUGCUUCCAGGAAAAGCCUCUAAGCAUCAGGUAACAUCAAAUCGUACCCCAAACCGACACAGGUGGUCAGGUAGAGAAUACCAAGGCGCUUGAGAGAACUCGGGUGAAGGAACUAGGCAAAAUGGUGCCGUAACUUCGGGAGAAGGCACGCUGAUAUGUAGGUGAAGUCCCUCGCGGAUGGAGCUGAAAUCAGUCGAAGAUACCAGCUGGCUGCAACUGUUUAUUAAAAACACAGCACUGUGCAAACACGAAAGUGGACGUAUACGGUGUGACGCCUGCCCGGUGCCGGAAGGUUAAUUGAUGGGGUCAGCGCAAGCGAAGCUCUUGAUCGAAGCCCCGGUAAACGGCGGCCGUAACUAUAACGGUCCUAAGGUAGCGAAAUUCCUUGUCGGGUAAGUUCCGACCUGCACGAAUGGCGUAAUGAUGGCCAGGCUGUCUCCACCCGAGACUCAGUGAAAUUGAACUCGCUGUGAAGAUGCAGUGUACCCGCGGCAAGACGGAAAGACCCCGUGAACCUUUACUAUAGCUUGACACUGAACAUUGAGCCUUGAUGUGUAGGAUAGGUGGGAGGCUUAGAAGUGUGGACGCCAGUCUGCAUGGAGCCGACCUUGAAAUACCACCCUUUAAUGUUUGAUGUUCUAACGUUGACCCGUAAUCCGGGUUGCGGACAGUGUCUGGUGGGUAGUUUGACUGGGGCGGUCUCCUCCUAAAGAGUAACGGAGGAGCACGAAGGUUGGCUAAUCCUGGUCGGACAUCAGGAGGUUAGUGCAAUGGCAUAAGCCAGCUUGACUGCGAGCGUGACGGCGCGAGCAGGUGCGAAAGCAGGUCAUAGUGAUCCGGUGGUUCUGAAUGGAAGGGCCAUCGCUCAACGGAUAAAAGGUACUCCGGGGAUAACAGGCUGAUACCGCCCAAGAGUUCAUAUCGACGGCGGUGUUUGGCACCUCGAUGUCGGCUCAUCACAUCCUGGGGCUGAAGUAGGUCCCAAGGGUAUGGCUGUUCGCCAUUUAAAGUGGUACGCGAGCUGGGUUUAGAACGUCGUGAGACAGUUCGGUCCCUAUCUGCCGUGGGCGCUGGAGAACUGAGGGGGGCUGCUCCUAGUACGAGAGGACCGGAGUGGACGCAUCACUGGUGUUCGGGUUGUCAUGCCAAUGGCACUGCCCGGUAGCUAAAUGCGGAAGAGAUAAGUGCUGAAAGCAUCUAAGCACGAAACUUGCCCCGAGAUGAGUUCUCCCUGACUCCUUGAGAGUCCUGAAGGAACGUUGAAGACGACGACGUUGAUAGGCCGGGUGUGUAAGCGCAGCGAUGCGUUGAGCUAACCGGUACUAAUGAACCGUGAGGCUUAACCUU
rnacentral:rRNA from 1 species